AUUGAACGCUGGCGGCAGGCUUAACACAUGCAAGUCGAACGAGUGGCGGACGGGUGAGUAAUGCUUGGGAAUCUAGCUUAUGGAGGGGGAUAACUACGGGAAACUGUAGCUAAUACCGCGUACCAUAGGAUGAGCCCAAGUGGGAUUAGGUAGUUGGUGAGGUAAAGGCGCACCAAGCCGACGAUCUCUAGCUGGUCUGAGAGGAUGACCAGCCACACUGUGACUGAUACACGGCCCAGCGUCCUACGGUAGGGUGCAGUGGGGAAUAUUGCGCAAUGGGGGCAUCCUGAGGCAGCCAUGCGUCGUGAAGGAAGAAGGCCUUCGGGUUGUAAAGUUCUUUCGGUAGCGAGGCGUUAACUACAGAAGAAGCACCGGCUAACUCCGUGCCAGCAGCCGCGGUAAUUC
rnacentral:rRNA from 1 species